CAGUCGCCGCGGUAAUACGUAGGUGGCAAGCGUUGUCCGGAAUUAUUGGGCGUAAAGCGCGCGCAGGCGGAUCGGUCAGUCUGUCUUAAAAGUUCGGGGCUUAACCCCGUGAUGGGAUGGAAACUGCCAAUCUAGAGUAUCGGAGAGGAAAGUGGAAUUCCUAGUGUAGCGGUGAAAUGCGUAGAUAUUAGGAAGAACACCAGUGGCGAAGGCGACUUUCUGGACGAAAACUGACGCUGAGGCUCGAAAGCCAGGGGAGCGAACGGGAUUAGAUACCCGCGUAGUCCCUGUCUCUUAUACA
rnacentral:rRNA from 1 species